GUUGGUCGUUGGGUUGCUCUCUUGUCGUCCUUUCAGCGAACGAUUCGAUCUUUAGCGCUCCGCGGGCCCGUCCAAGGGGCAGCGACGGACUGUGGGGGCGAUGCCGUUGGCUUCUCCGCCGGCCACCCUCUCCUGGCACAACUUCUCCGUCAGGAGGCGAUGAAGAUGAAAGUGAUGGAAGUUCUCCUUUUAGCAGUGUUCAAGUGCUUUCCUCAAGUCUGCACCGUCAUCUCGAUGCUUUUUAGCUUGGGAUGUACCUUCGAAAUUUUGAUAAGUAGCUUGGGAUGUAUACAUAGACAAAAUUGUAUGUAUGUAUACAUUCGAUUUAGAUAUUAAUUUUCUAAUUUUUAAUUUGAUA